UCAAAGCAGAGGAGACACAACAAUUGUGGUGCAGAGUACACAGAGGUGGAUUCAUUAAGAUGUAACCACAGACAGACUUCAUGGCUACAACAUGGAAGGCAUCUACAGGAGAAAUCAAUGUCCAAUAGAGAUCUAGCCCAACCAAUAUAUCAAUGGGAGAAUCAUGGUGGUAGUCAUCGUCAACCUGAGGAAAGGAAUCCAGCCCUGAAUAUGGCCUAGCCAAGGGCUGGUAGGGCAGCAAUGACACCACUUCCCUGUCCCACAACUUUAACUCAAAGACAUUUUCCACCACUGUGACCACCACAACCAGAGUAUGGCCUACUCCACUGUGGCUUACACUUCUUCACAAAGCUGGUACUAACAUGUCUGCACCAUUACCACCUGAGCACUGACAACAGUGCCAUCAAUCCCAGUACUCCACCAUAACAAUUUCCUGACACAGAAACAGAGUUUUCUUGCUUGGAGGAAGCAUGGAGUACACCCUGUCUUUAGAACCAGUACUCUUAUUUUCACUUGUCUGUUCUUCACUACUACUACUCUUCUUUCCCUUAAAGACCUUUCUAAUCUUGUCUAAGAAUGUCAGUCUAAGUCCUGUCCAUCACCUUCCCUGGCCCAUAGUUCACGAGAGCGGGUGAUCAGAAACACCUCGCACUGUGACGCCUCCAAACUGUGUUAGAAUGUCAUCGCGUAAUUUGUGCCGCGCCCUUCGCUCCACCGACGUUGAUGUUGACAGGACCAUUCAGCAGUGCCUGCAAAGAUAAUCCUCUCUGGCUUGUAGCAGGUUACAGGCAACAGGGCACUGGUAUGAGCUUCACUACACUCCUGGCAUCUCCCUCCCGCCGGCAAUGACAGCAAGUAGGUGAACUUAGUGGAAGGUCUGUUGCAUCGGAACAGGAAUAUUGAUCCCAGGAGGACUGCCACUGGCUCACUUCACCAGUAAACUUUGCCAAUUCCAACUUGACAUUGGUGAUUCUUGAGAUAAAGACUUAUAGCAGUACCAGCUGCUGCUAACUCCCUUAUCUUGGUAGUAUCUGCACACCUUUGCCUCUAAAUUCAGGUCCAAAAGUUGGUCUAGUUCUUCUUCAGGUACUUCAACUCUAUUGCUUCUUGCACUUCAUCUAACUUGGCCAGUCUUUUGUGGCAUUCCUUGUACUCACCUUGAGUGGUGGUGGUGGUGGUGGUGGCAGCCUCCAGACUGUCACUCAGCGCCCAGCCUCGUCCUUGUCUUCUUCAGCUUCUUAUCUUAUCUUAUGUCUAUCUUGAGUUAUCUUGCAUUUUCUUAACCUUUUUUCGAUUUUUUUUAGUUUGAAUUAUCGUGUGUGUGAGAUUUGAAUGCUUAUAACUCUGGAUUUGUUUAAGUUAGAGUUCUGUUUAUUUGUGUGUGUAGAGGAAGGCUUUCUCUAUCUUUCUGUGUUUUGGGUCUUGGUCUAUCUUAUGUCUAUCUUGAGGUAUCUUGCAUUUUCUUAAACUUUUUUCAAUUUUACUUCAGUUUAAAUUAUCAUGUGUGUGAACUUUAAAUGCUUCUAACACUGGAUCCCUUUGAGUUAGAGUUUUUCCGUUUAUUUGUGUGUAUAGAUGAAGUCUUUCUCUAUCUUUCUGUGUUUUGUGUUUGGCUCUGUCUUAUGUCUAUGUAGAGUUAUCUUGCAUUUUCUCUAACUUUUUUACUAAUAUUUUGGUCUCAGUUUACCAUAUGGGUGAUUUUAAAUGCUUAUAACUUGGGUUUCAUUUAGGUUAGAGUCAAUCCGUUUGCAUCUAAUCAAAGUUCAAUCCUCGCUCUAUCCAUCCCCACCAUCCACUCGCUCUAAUCCUCGCUCACUCUCUCACUAUCUCACUUUAUUUACCAACUUUGCUGAUAGGUUCUGAUAACAAAUUGAUAUCAAAUUCUCUAUCACACUCUUUCAUGACAUGUAUAAGAUUUUUCCUUCAUUUUUUAUAUACAUAUCCCAAAGUUAAAGGCCCAUAGCUCCACUUCUAAGAAAGAUAAAGCCAAUAUGUUUGUACCUAAUCAAAGCCCAGUCCUUGCUCUAUCCAACCCCACAAUCGGCUUGCUCUAAUCCUUGCUCACUUUCCCACUAUCUUACUUUCUUUCAUGACAUGUAUAAGAUUUUUCCAGAUUUUUUUUCCAUGACCGAAAGUUAAAGGCCUGUAGCUCUAUUCAUAAGAAAGAUAGAGCCAAUCUGUUUGUGCCUGAUCAAAGCCCAAUCCUUGCUCUAUCCAACCCCACUCUCCGCUUGCUCUAAUCCUUGCUCACUUUCUCACUAUCUUACUUUCUUUCAUGACAUGUAUAAGAUUUUUCCAGAUUUUUUUUCCAUGACCCAAAGUUAAAGGCCUAUAGCUCCGCUUCUAAGAAAGAUAGAGCCAAUCCGUUUGUACCUAAUCAAAGCCCAAUCCUUGCUCUAUCCAACCCCACUAUCCGCUUGCUCUAAUCUUCGCUCACUUUCUCGCCAUCUCACUUUCUUUGCAGGUACUGACAGCCAACACGGUGCACACUCAAAGCGAGGAGGACUGGGAUCUGAUCUCCUGACUGGUGGAGUCUGUCGGGGCGGGCACCAUACCCCCCCCCCCCUCAGUACCUCCUUGGGGGGGGCGGGGGAGGAGGAGGAGCUCAGCUUGACCACCGGCCAGCCACAGCCUGCACUGACUCCCCGCGCAGGACAGUGACCUCUCACGACAGGGUUGACACUGGUUAAAGCACUGCGAUCCAGGCUUCACGGCCUGACAGGGCGCCAGUUCGAGCCCGCUCAGGCCGGAUUCUCUCCGUCGACGAGGAGCGGUUACUGUCCCCCCCUGAGCAAGGGGGAUGGGGUGUGUGGUGUGUGAGGUCCUGGCAGUACCCAGAGAUUGACGAUAAAGAGCACUUGCUCAUGUCGGGAGGGUGCCUGCUGGAGAUUACUGGUCCAACACGUGAUCAGGCCGUGGUGAACUCAAGACUCACUGAGGAGCCUCCCAGCAAGAGUGGCUCAGAGGCAGGUCAUUGCUGUGGUGCCUUGAGGACUGCUUAUCAAGUCCAAAAUGUGUUGACUCCCGUGUGAACGCACAAAAGUUGAACUCUUCCCGUGCUGGCACAGUCUGCCGGAGUGAGUGAGGAUUGCAAAGUGUUCUUACAGUGAAGUGUGUAGAGACUGCAACAUGAUGCAUUGUGUCCAACAAACUCUUUGGCUCAUAAUUGACCACCUUUUUACCGAGUGUUAGGUGAGUUUUGAUUUUUUUAGUGCAUUUCUUUAUUGUUAUGUGUCAUUUUGCCCAAAACAUUGGUGUCAUAAAUUCCUGGCAGGCAUUGAAGGAGCUGAGGGACAUGCAGGACACUGUGAAUGCCAGAAAGGCGGGACUUGUCAAGACACAAGACUCUUGACACGCUUGUCUCGUUUCCCGUGAACUCGUCGUAAAGAGCAGAACAAGUAGUUACCUGUGCAAGAAACCACGUGACUUGCCCGGCCCGUGCUGCCCCGCCCGAACCAAGUCACUGAAGCUAGGGUUGACUGAAGAUCUGGGCAGCUUGUGGGUGAUCUUCCGCCACACGGUGACGGUUGUGGAAAUUGUCGGCGUGCUUUGGCGGGACUCAAACCCAGGUCCUCAGGCUCACCACGACUACACACUGUCCAUUCAGCCACCGAGGCCUCCCUCCCAUGGACCUGCUGUUAACCGUUCAGACGCCCGGGUAUGGUAUGGACUGCAUGUUUCCAGUACGGUUUCCUGUUUCGUAAUCUCAUGGAGGCAUUAACGUGUUAUUCUGUACAGUCUAGAAUACAUUAGUUGCAGGUCUCUCGUUGACAGGCCCGGGAAGGAGGGACGCAACGCACCUCACAAGACACAAGACUCCAGUCCAUCCUGAGUAGCCUGGAGAGGGAGUGACCUGCCAUGGGGCAGUCCAGUCCAGCCAGCCACUGUGUGGUGGUAAUAGUGAUGGCACCUUUGGCACAGCGAUAACUUUGCCAUCAUCAGUAGGAACUUAGUUAUAGAGUUACGUGCAUACAAUUUCAUACAGUAAGUUACAUACAGUCAUUGCUUACAGUUUAGUUUUUAUUAGAUGUUUUUGGCAGUUGUAUUAGUUUAUUUUG